UACGUAGGGUCCGAGCGUUGUCCGGAAUUAUUGGGCGUAAAGAGCUCGUAGGCGGUUUGUCGCGUCUGCUGUGAAAUCCCGAGGCUCAACCUCGGGCCUGCAGUGGGUACGGGCAGACUGGAGUGCGGUAGGGGAGAAUGGAAUUCCUGGUGUAGCGGUGGAAUGCGCAGAUAUCAGGAGGAACACCGGUGGCGAAGGCGGGUCUCUGGGCCGAUACUGACGCUGAGGAGCGAAAGCGUGGGGAGCAAACAGG
rnacentral:rRNA from 1 species